ensembl:lncRNA
GUGGGGAGAAAGAAGCCACCUGGCCAGGCCAGACCUGACUCAUGUUUUCCUUGGCCGGAGCUGGAAUUCCUUUCAAGGUUUCUGCCUCCGAGAGCAGCGCGGCUGAGCUGGGUAGCGGCCGGAUGCUGUAUUUCACUGUGUCCAGGCUGAGAGGGAACCAGAAAUCAUCCACGGAAUGCGUGAGGUUAUUGGAUGAGAAGUGAGUGCCUGAGCUCCAGACAGCCAAUCCAUAGGCUGGCCUGCCAACUGCAACGUGGUCCGGACUAAAGGUGGCUGGUGAAGGUGACGCUUCCUGGAACUGGAACUGGAAAAUAUGGAAAGCCCAAGCCAGGUAGCAGCAGGACCGGAGGGUGAAAAGGUGCUGUAGGUUGACGCCCAGGGCAAGCAGAAAUGGUGAGGAAGCAUGUGCUGUAAGUAAACAGAAAUAAAGCAAUCAGCAGAGAGGAGAAAGGAACAGACACACAGAGGGGAAAGAGGUGCCAUAAGGGGGCCUCGCAGCUCACAGAGACACAGAGAAAGAGCUCUUACUUAUGGGGACUGCUUUGGUUCCUGGCAGCCCUUCAGAUGCAUGGUGAGGCCAUGUGUACCCUGAAAAAAAGAAGCCAUUCCCUGAGGCACUGGGGGAGUUUUUUUCUUGGGACCACAAAACUUGAGCAGAACAAGGACAGACAUUCCUUGUUCUGUGGGUGGAGCCUGAAGUCACCAUGGAAGGCUCUUUGUGAAGAUGUUAUGAGUAAUUCCUUCCAUGCCCCUUAGCAAUGUCACUUUACUGCUCUUCCCAUCAAGAGGUGAAUUCUCUCUCCUCCCCUUGAAUCAAGCUUGGCAAUAUGACUUCUUUUGGCCAAUGGGCUAUUAGCAAAUGUGAUGCAUGCAGAGGCUUGAAGCACACCCGUGUGUGAGGUUUGCCCUCUCUUUGGCUGUGACCGUAAUGGGAAUGAGCCUGAGCUGCCUGCUGAAGAGGCCACAUGGAGAGCCGAGGCGUUCAGCCUUAAGCUUGCUGGCUGCUGGACACAAAAGUGAGGACAUCUGAGACCGUCCAGCCCUACUCAAACCACCUGAUGACUACAUCUGCAUGAGCGAGCCCAGGCGAACCCAGAGGCAGAACUGCCAGCUGAGCCCAGGCAAAUUGCUGCCCCACAAAAUCGUGAGCCAAGAAAAUGGGUGGAACCCAGAGCUGGGGCCAGCAAGGGGGGCCACCGGCCUCUAGGGCAGGGCUGCUCCAGCGGUGGGCCUCGGAUUGGCUGCUUGAUACAGUCGGUGAUGAGGAGAGUAGAAAGAUCAAGAUCGUAACAAACUUUUGUAACAAAUUGACAAACUAAUAUUAGGUUUGUUGAAUUUAACAGUAAAAAAUUGAGGCUUUAAAUAUGUGUUUAGGUUUUUAUUGUAUUUUACAGAAGUAUUGGUUUACAGUGGAUUGGGCAAAAAAACCCUGGCCCUUCUCCACAGAUGGUCUGAGAAGCACUGCUCCAGGGGAUGGCAAAUUUACAAGCUACCCUGGAACUUAGAAGUGGGUUGAACCUUGUCAGGACUCUCUCCCUCAGCCUGGUAUUUUCAUUUCUUUCUGAAUGUCACCUUUUGCCACCAGGUGGGUCACCUGGUAGCAUGGAGCUCUGCAAUCUAUCUUUUCAAAUUCACAACCAAAAAGGAAAGAGGCCAUUUCUCCUUAGCUCUCGUUAGAAAACUUUUGGGGAAGGACUCUGACCAGCCUGGUUUGGGGCACCCACUCACAACCCAUCUCUGGGACAGGGAGGGAAGACCGUGUAAGACGGUGGCUCCCUUUGGAUCACACAGCUGAGUGUAGGGAGCAGUUCUACAAAAUGGGGGGACUUCCGUUCCCAGGAGAAGGCAAGUGCUGGGCAGAUAAGGAAUAUGUCCCCCAUAGGGAGCUCCCAGCUCUCUCUCUACUCCUUUCUCUUGUCCCCCAGCCUCCUAAACACGUCCCCACCAGGAAC